GUCAUUAUCAACCCUCAAGCCCGGCUUGUCAAUUGAACCUCUUGUCGUUAAAAAGACGGGUUCGAAAAAUAAUGACGGUGUCGCGAUCGACCCUAGAUGCAACGAGCUUCACGGCACGCAUGUUAGUGGCCGGCGGCCUCAGUCUCAACCCUAUUUCAAUGGUUGACCUCGGAUCAGGUAGGAAUACCCGCUGAACUUAA
rnacentral:misc_RNA from 1 species